rnacentral:pre_miRNA from 1 species
CGUAGUUUCAUAUGGGUAUGCUCCGUUGUGUAUUUUCGAAGCACCAUGUGAAGCUGCUAU